ACGUGACCCUCAUGUUUCCAUGGCAAUCAGUCAAUUACGCUUAUGACGCUCACCUGCGGUCAUUCGCGCAGUAUCCAUGAUUUUAAGCGGCAUGAAACACUUAAGUUAACUCCUUUGUACGAAAAUAUCAUGUCGUAGCCCUUCAAAUUAGAAUAGUGAUGAUGAUCUUGUCAAUGCUGAGAUUUUCAUGCAUCAACAGCCACUACAUCUGGAUCAGAUUGAACAAGAAACAGACAGCAAGGGUUGUCAGAUCAGAAACAGAAUGACACACAAGAAACUUCACAGGCUGAUCAACAUGCAAUUUGAAGACGUGUGAUAAAAUACAGAGAGGUGAAGUAGUGUGUCUUUCCAGAUCCCCAAAUCAUUCCUUCUUAAAAGAUGAGCCUGAAGAGGAGAUUUGGGAAGAUGCUGUUUCGUAAGUCGCUUUGCCAGAUAACCUGUGGUCAGGAUGUCUGCUAACAAGAUGCCUUGCUGGUCUGGGCGAGUUUAAAGGCUUACACAGACAAUCCAGAAGUUCUGAAGUCCAUCUUCGAUUUCAUUGAUGCUGUCAUCGUAUUAAGUACAGCAUGAGCCAGAAUAGAUGUGUGGUGGUGGCCAUAAGGAGACUGUCAACUAAACCAAC